CAUUUUUUUUACGGUUGCUACGAGUCUUUAAUUUAAUUAUUAACAACCAUUUGAUUGGGUUGCUAGCAACCACUUGAAUUUGGUUACUAUGAAACUACUUACGGAAAUCAAAUCGAUAUGGUCACUUGUUUAAUUUUUAAACAAAUCAAGAAAAGAAAAGAAAAUAAAAGAAAGCUGUGGGCGAAAAUGAAAAUAAUGAAAAAAUACAGCCAUUAUCAUUCUUUCAUUUCUUCAUCACAAAACAUUACCCUGUUCACUCUCUCCUUACGCUCUCUUUCUCUCUCUUUACCAAUUCUCGCAUAAAACAAAAGUAGUAAAUUGCAACAAGAAGCAAACAUUGGAAUUGAAGACGAGGGCGUCCCAACCUCCGGCAUAAACAGACCUCUUUCCAAUAUUCUCAAAGAUUUGAACAAGAAAGUGCCCGAAACCCUCCUAAGGCACCGCACCCAUCCCGAUGGCUUCUCCUUCAAAUACAUCCCCUGGCACAUAUUGAAUCGGAUUAUGAACUUAAUUAUCUCUUAAUUUCUUCAUUAUGUUUGCACCAAAAUCUCUCUUAUCUUACCUCUUUUGUUUUCCCCAAAAGUAUUCACCUAUUUCACCCAAUGUCUCCAAGCCCUAGUUCCUACCCCUGUUCGAUAAUUUUCGAAUUCAAUAAAGGAGAUCAGGAAGAUUUGAUUACAGGAAAAGAAUUGGGGAUUUGAAAAGAUAAUUUCAGAUUUGGGUUUUAAGGAAAAAUAAUAGUUUGGAGACCUUCGAGAAUGAAUCUCGUCGAUCAGGACCCACCUUUGGAAUAAUUGUGAGUUCAGAUGUACAUCGGUGUUGGUGAUUUCUGGCAAAGGUCGCCGAUGGUGGCCGUAAUCUGGAGUUCAGCUUUUGGCUCUUCAAAGAAUUAAAUGAACGGUGGAGUAUUGAUGAUAGAAGGUACUGUUACAAACCUCGAGAAGUUAGCUUCCCAGUAAUGGUGGUGCUAGGCAGUUUUAUUCGGCGGUGGUCGUCGAAAUUUGGUGUGAAAUUCAGCCUGCUCGCCGGAAAGGGAAAUAAAAUCUGCUACCGCAUCUGUUUUCGGAGCCGAAAUCGAAAGGUUUGGAGUGUGAAUUUGGUAAUCAUUCCUUCUCGAAACUCGUAGAGGACCUCGAAAACUGUGUGUCAUUCGUGGUUGUGUACCUAAGAAAAUUUUGGUCUAUGAUGUUGCUUUUGGUGCUAACUCGAGAUGAGAAGACUUUGUUGUUUGUGAAAGACUUUGUUAGUUAUUUCUUCAAGUUAUAUAACCAAAUUUAACACGACAGCUAUGUUGGCGAAAUUCAGAGAAAUAGUAAACCUUCUGCCGCACCUGUUUUCGGAGCCGAAAUCGAAGGGUUUCGAGUGAGAUUUUCGAAUCAGUCUCUUCACAAAACUCGUCGAGGACCGUGAUAAUUAUAUGUUGGACUGUUUGAUGAAGUGAAAGAACGUUAUCGUGGAAGUCAUAUUUGUUGUCGCUUAACAAUUUAUGAAGUGGAAUUUAUUAUGAAAUAAUUACAGUCAUCUUUCUUAUUAUUUGGAAUGAUUGAUUUAUUAUUGUAUUUAGUAUGAUAGAUUGAAAUUAUAAUA